rnacentral:tRNA from 1 species
GGCAUAAUAGCUUAAGGGGUAGAGCGUGAGAUUGUUAAUUUUGGUGUAUUAGUUCGAGUCUAGUUUAUGUCG